CUAGUAAAUAUACCUCGACUGAGAUAUCAUUGCUAAGCAUGUCAACACUCAAUGGCACUCUUAUAGUUCGCAAGGAGCAAUGGUUUUCUUUUGAAGUUCAGAGCAAUGUAGUAAGGAAGAUAACUAGAUGAUCCGAAGCCCAGAUCGAUUCAACUACAGCUUCAAACCCGAGUAUUUCCAAUUUAAAAAAGCUACAUACCAGGACUUUGGGUGGAUCAGCGUUGGUGUGUGAAGAACUUUGUGGACGGAAAGACUGCUUCUCAAUAUCAGUGGUUCAAGGAUACAGGAAACUUCGCCGAGAGUUUGGUGUACAGCUGGCGAAUUUGAAAUGCUGUGGUGCUAAUUGUAAAUGUAGACAUCAUUCUGCGAUCUUCUGUUCGAGGAAGAGAUUGAGAAAUCGAGAGACAAGAUGGUAUACAUCGACUUCAUGCCUAAACUAGUCCAGUAUUACGGAGGAGCACAUUCCAAAUACGAAAGUUUCAGACGACUUAUGCAACGCGCCAACGAUUGGCUGGAGAGGAACCCCCAAGUUGUUGUCAUCAACUGUGAAACUGUGGCUAUCAAACCGAACGAGUAUUACUUGGAGGAUUUCGACAACAAGAUCACGAUUUGGGAUGAAUUCUUCAUGGAGACAAUUGCUGGGAAAACACGAACUGCCAGACAUCCAGUAUUACAUGUUUUGAGAAUUUGGUAUCUUGGGAAGACCUUUGCCGAGGAGGGCGACGACGACGAUGAUGAUGAUGACGAUGAGAGCACAAUCAGCGAGGAAGAAGCCGAGCAGAGGAGGAAAGCAUCCAUGAAGAAGCGAAAGUCUAUAUUCGAAAGGAACGAGAGCAUGGCCACUUUUAAACAGGACGCAGAUCGGAGAAAGUCGAUUAGUUCUACAGCUAGCAAGGACAGUAAGGGGAAGAAGAAGGGUGAUAAAGGGAAAACAAAGUCCGUAGCGUUCUCCGACACAAAAGACGUCAAACACUUUGAAAAAGAUGACGAUGAUGACGUCAGCGAAAUAGAGGAGGACGAACUGCGACCGCAGCAGAUUGGCUACGUAAAUAUCAUACCGUGCCGGUAUCGUAGCAGCAAAGAUCUAAGGUCGAAGCGGAGGUUCGAACACCUUGGAGCUACUAUUGGGCGAUUUAACAAUAACAUGGAGGAGAGACAUUUGCCCGGGGAAAUUAUCAGCACCGAGAUCUACACGGUUCCCAUGUCAGCCAACGGAUGUGAAUAUCCUGAUGCCACCUUCUGGAGAUUUGGCGAACUAGAGUUCCAUAUGGCCAGAGUCUAUUAUUUGCUCGGCGAGUCACUUGGAGAGAAAAUAGGUUUUGCCGACUUCAUUCCAAUGAACGAUGGUGUCGAAGAUUUUACGCACAUGGUCAGCAGGGCAAAUGAAUGGAUUCAAAAACAGUCAAAAAUACAUGUCACCAACUUCAGGACCGACUGGUGUAACUUCGGCGCUGAACCUACUUUCGUUGAGAGCCAGUCCGCAAUACGCCGGGUGUGGAUCAAUGCCAAGCUUGUUCGUGUACUGAGAGUAUGGUACACUACCCCACUGAGACCAGAACUAGUGGAAGUGCCACCCAAUCCCGUCGUAAAAUGGACGCUGUUCGAGGCUGAGAUAUUAGUGCAGAAGACGGUAGAGAGGGUGGAGACCUUCACAGAAGUCAUCAGGAGGGCGCUCAUUGAUCUUGAAAAACUAGCAUAACCAAAAACAACACCGAAAACAUGCAUAAAACAAGGCACACAGCAAAAACACUGAACAUAAAACGACAGCAACGACAUCUAACAUCAAGAUUUGAUACCAUGCCAUUCGAUUGGUGUAGCUUUGCAUGUGAUCGCCGCCAUAUUUCAUCACGUGAUUUAUCCAAUAUGAAGCUGUCUGCUUUGGCGUCAUCUGCUGAUCUCGGUACAUUUCGGAAGCCUUCAUGAUUGCUUCUUUGUAGCGUUGACUUUGCAUCAAUUCAGUAAUGUUUGUGUAAAAGUCAUCAGCAGUCAGCUUCCUUAAUUCUAUGUAUAGUCCGAAUCCUUUACUCAUAAGUCUUUGCGCGUUGUAAACUUGGUCACCGAAAAUUGGGAGGCCCAACAUCGGGACGCCAUGAUAGAGUGCCUCGUGCUGGCCGCUGUUUCCACAGUGCGUUGCAAAGACCUUGACCUUUUCAUGCCCCAAGAGAUCAUUUUGAGGAAGCCAUUUUGAGGCAUAGGUGUUUGAGGGGAGAUGUUGACCCUGUUUGAGCUUCUUGACGUCGAACUGUAACACAACCUUAAGCUUAAGUUUUCCAACCGAGGCCAAUAAUGUAUCGACUGUCUGCUCCGGGAGUUGGACAGCGACGGAUCCAAAUGAUAUCAGGACAAAACCGUCACUGUUAUCAACAAAAUCUUUCAAAUCGCCUUCCUGUAGCUGUUUUGCAGGCUUGGUAACUAGGCCACCAACGUUGAUAAGGUUUGGGGCGCCUGGGAUAGGAACUUCAUAGACCCUCGCAGUGUCUACCAGGUGAAGCAGUGCUCUGUCAGCGAGGUCCCUAUAAGAAGAGUAGGGCUUGUCCGAUGGAUACGCAAUAACGUAUUCCAACAGCGGGCCCAGAAUGGUCACCAGCAGCGUCUUGACUGUCCGCUGACGGAGUGUAGAGUACUCGUAGUAGACCAUAUCAGCUGGUCCGGGGGAAAGUAAUAGUGUAUGAAGGGCUGGAGCAGCCAUAUCGGCGAGCAAGAUCGGCAUAAAAUUAACGUAAGAAGCACAGAUCCUGAAUGUGGAAACAGUUGUGUUGUUCUCUGAAUACAGCAAGAGAAAACUCCGCCGUGAAGAGAUGGACGUCAACGUCGGGCUCCAAAUCAAACACAUGCUUAGGUUUUACAU